AAAACAAACAAACUCAAGAAACUAGACAUCAAAAUACUGAACAAUCCAAUUAAAAAGUUGGCUAAAGAGCUAAAUAGAGAAUUCUCAAAAGAAGAAUCUCAAAUGGCUGAAAGACAUUUAAAGAAAUGCUCAGCGUCCUUAAUCAUCAGAGAAAUGCAAAUCAAAAUGACCCUUGAGAUACCACCUUACACCUGUCAGAAUGGCUAUGAUCAAAAACACUGAUGACAGUCUAUGUUGGAGAGGAUGUGGAGCAAGGGGAACACUCCUCCACUGUUGGUGGGAGUGCAAACUGUACAACCACUGUGGAAAUCAGUAUGGUGGUUUCUCAGAAAAUUGGGAAUAGAUCUACCUCAAGACCCAGCCAUACCACUCUUGGGCAUAUACUCAAGGAAUGCUCAAUCAUGCCACAAAGGUACAUCCUCAACUAUGUUCAUAGCAGCACUAUUCGUAAUAGCCAGAAUCUAGAAACAACCUAGAUGCCCGUCAACUGAAGAAUGGAUUAAGAAAAUGUGGUACAUAUACACAAUGGAGUACUACCCAGCAGAGAAAAACAAUGACAGCAUGAAAUUUGCAGGCAAAUGGAUGGAACUAGAAAAUAUCAUCCUGAGUGAGGUAACCCAAACCCAGAAGGACAAACAUGGCCAAGACUUUGACAAGAAAGGAAGAAAUCUCAGUUCUUCAUGAGUUCUGCCAUGGACGUACAACACAGUCUUGGUGAAAAUGGAUUCUCCUUGGUAUGCAAAUUGAACAGAGAUAAUCUUGUGGUUAUUGCUGGGUACACAGGUCUUCUGAAAAUAAUUAGUAUAUUUGGCUUACAUUUUCACAAUUCAUGAAUUACAAUGAUAGGAUUUAUUUAUUUAGUUUUUUUUCUUCUUCCUGAUACAGGGUUUCUCUGUGUAUCUCUGGCUGUCCUGGAACUUGCUCUGUAGACCAGGCUGGGCUCUAACUCAAGAGAUCUGUCUGCCUCUGCCUCCCAAGUGCUGGGAUUAAAGGCAUACACCACCACUGCCUGGUAAUACAUUUUAAAAAAUAUUUGUGAAUACAACUAUACUUUUCUUUGUUUUGCCAGUUUUACUGCCUGUAAAAUUAUUCUGGAACAGGUAAAACUGUCUAAAUCCCUAACAGUUUUCUUCCUUUAGUGUGUGCCUCACCUCACUAUUAACUUUGGGAACCAACAUUCCUCCUGUCUCUCUCUGGAGUGUUAGCAUUUUAUUUAGCUGUGAGGAGCUCCUCAUCAGCUGCCUAACAAAGGCCCAGAGCAAUCUCUCCACACUUACAGUGUUUUAAGACCACAGAAAGUUAUCUUAUCAUAACAUUUGUCAAAGAAGUUAUCUGUAUUGUUAAACAUACUUUGAAAAUAAAGACAACUCCACACACUUCUGACUCUUACACUUCUCAGUAAAAUCCCAAGUCUUUCAUUGAAACUCUCCACAUAAAACAUUUUACAUGGCUUAGUAGCCAAUGUUAACAGUAACAAAAUGAAUUAUCUUGUUCUCUGUGGUGGUAUUUUACUUAUACUGAAAUGUGAUUUUAUUUGUAUGUUAAUAAAUAAAGUUGUCUGGGGGUCAGAGCUAUUAGAGUCAUAGCAAGUGCGUGGCGGCGGUGGCUCACGCCUUUAAGGACCUGGAGGGCGGUACAUUCAGGCAGUGACGAGGCAGUCACAUGUUUGGGUUUACAACCAAUGAGACGGCAGAACAGGAAGACUUUAAAGACAGACACACAGGAAGUAGGUCUUUUUGGAGAGCUCUCUUGGCUGGAGAGGAUCCCUGAAUCAGGAAGGGUGAGGCUCUUAGCUCUGACCUCUUGACUUUCUUCUCUGAAUUGGCUCUGUGUUUCUUAUUUUAUAAGACCGUUGGUUACAUCUACAGUUCUCCAGGACAGAUUCCCAACACUUUCCUAGCCACAGGUGUACUUAAGAGGUGCCAUCUUUGAGUGGAAACUUCAUCAAGGAAUUCCCAAGUAGUAAGAUUCCUCAUUGGUGAUUUAAUAAAGACAUCCACAAGCCAAAUUUGAGCUGUUUUAAUUAGAAAGUUUUACACAUAAAUUCCCCAGUUAUUUGGUUACUCUAAAUGACCAAAAUAAUGUGCAACAUACCACAAUAGUUAAAAAUUUAACCAGUAGUUAAAAAUCUUACAGAGACCUACAGUCAUGCAAAAACCAUACUUUCUUACUGCUAUAUGCCAUGGGAUUAUAAUUUCCAUAGGCCAUAUCUCAUGAUUUUUGUUACAUUUAUACACCAGACAAGCCACAAUAAAGAAAACAAUGCUUAAAACAUUUAUUAUAAAAGUGUGCUUUAUUAUAAGGAAAUUUUAAAUAUAACCGACAAUACUGAAAAUAAUGUAACUGGCAUUUAUAGCCUUGGUUGGAGUUCUUUAUUUGACAGGCAUUUGUUUACUGUUCCAUGAACGUUAACAAUUAGCUUAUGCAAUGCAACAGAAGAGAACUCAGAAUAGUGAGUGAAUAAAGAACACAGAAUGAUGAACCAGGAACUUGGGUGGCUUUUUUCUGGUUUUGGAAUUUUUCCUUGUUUAACACAUGGCUUUUGAAAACAUGUUACCUUCAUGUAGAGAGAGCUCUUUUUCCUAAAGACAGAUUUUGCAAAAAUAAUAUUUUAAAACAUGACUAAAGCUAUAGUUUACAUACUUUAACUUGUUUAUGCAUUAUCCAAUUAACAUUCUAGCCAUGUUUUCAUUUACAAGUAGGACUAUAAACAUUCCCUUAUAAGAUCACAACAGCCAUAGAUGAAUUGCACAUAUAUAGAUCCUCUGUUCCUUAGAACACAUUUCCCAAAAUGAAAUUACCCAUUUAAAGGUGAAUAACUGGUGAGAAUUAGUCUCUAGAUAUUUGGUCACGGGGCCUGAAAGUCAUGUAAAAGUAUAUUGCUUUGGUUGUACAUAACAAUUCAUCAUUAUCUGGCAUAAAAAUAAGCAUAUAAGUGACCAAAGAAAACCUAAUAAAAUUUUGUACUUUAUGUACUUUUAACUCUGUGUUGACUUUAAAGCUAAGGACAAGGCCUAAUGAUAUGUAGUGUAGACAGAAAUUCCAUUAAUCAUUAUGUAUGGCUUUGCUUAUAUACAAACUUAUUUCCACCACGGUGGUAGUUUUUGAAGGUUGGAAAAGAUAAAACACUUGAUUGGCUGCUGAUCAAUGAGCUUGCUGGUUGGUGACAAGGAAGAACAAACAAAAAAAAUAAAAAUAAAAAUAAAACAUGGCCAUGGGCACAGACAUGUGCA